rnacentral:rRNA from 1 species
UACGUAGGAGGCGAGCGUUAUCCGGAUUCACUGGGCGUAAAGCGCGCGCAGGCGGUCCUGCAAGUCGUGCGUGAAAGCCCCUGGCUCAACUGGGGGAGGCCGUACGAUACUGCAGGGCUUGAGGUCAGGAGAGGGGGGCGGAAUUCCCGGUGUAGCGGUAAAAUGCGUAGAUAUCGGGAGGAACACCAGUGGCGAAGGCGGCUCCCUGGCCUGCACCUGACGCUGAGGCGCGAAAGCGUGGGGAGCGAUCGGG